GGUUCUUGCCUUGCAGGGUCUCCAGCUCCUCUUUUCGCAGCUGUUUAAGAGGCUCAGGAGUUUGGAGAGGCAAGUAGGACUUGUUGGAGAAGAAUGUCCGCUUGGUUGGGUCAUCGGACUUGGAGGCCACCCACGAGUUACAUGUAAAGGUAACGGGGCCGUCAGGUAGCUCAAGCUUCAUUUCCUUGAGGAAUAUCUCUCUAUGGGCCUCGUUUAAAACUCUGAUGGCACCCACCGCUCCAAAGUCUUUGGGCAUGUCAAAUACACACUCGUACUGAUCCUCACCAUGUGCAUCAAUCACUAAACGUCGUGCGUGAUCCUUCACCGGAUCCUUCUCCAUUAGCGUCUCUGACAUGUGUUAAUGACUUGGUUAAGUAUCAUUACCAGUAUUCACUACUGAUGCAUUAGCCUACUUUUUACUUCUUAUAUAAAAUAAUAAUAAUAUGUUUGCUUGAUAAUUGUACUCACGGGGGUCAGUCUCGGCGCUAAUAAGCUCGACAAGCAGUGAAACUCCAAGCAAAUCGGUGAAGCCAACGGAAGGUAAUAAGCCUUGUUUGGCCGUUAUAAUUCCCUUUACUUUGAUUUUCUUAACUCUUUCUUUCGCUCUCCAAUCAAUAUCAAACUUUGAGGCUGUGACCGUACAUCGUCCUCUGAGGUUUGGACGAGGGCACAGCUUGUAACGAUGUCCUGCCGAGAGGGGGUUGAUGAGUGCUGAUGGUUUAGUGAACUCAGAGCUGAGACUCUUUGCUAUGUUUAAGGUCUGGAGACUGGACGAUGCCUCUUUACAAAACAUCUUUUAUCUGUUUGCUUUUCUAUUUUGCUUACUCUCUUGUGCAUCCCCGCUACAUCUAUUUAUACAAGUAUAGAAAAUAUUAAAUCUUUUUCUCAUUUCAAAAAGUAGAAAAAAAUGUUUUCUACUGAGCUAUCAACAAACUUUCUCAACUUACUAUCUUAACUUCAUAAUAUUAAACUUUCUUCACUUGAUAUCUUAAAUCAAGUUACAUUUUUAAUCGAGUUUUUUUUUUUUGAUAAUCCAAGGAAUCCGAACACUUGGAGGGAACCCACUAUGUACCUGCUGAUUAGGUCUGCAGGUAAGCCUUCCCUGUCGAACCUCCAUAGUUUGUCAUAGACAUCUGAACUUAGCUCUAAUGAAUACUUUCCGGGCCAGAAACAAGACUCAAUGAUUCCACCUGCGUUGACGAGACUUUGGCGUCCACGAGCGUUGAUCUCCAUCGUGUAGCGGAAGUGGGGAUGCAAAAGCCUAUAGAUAGGAUGCAUGGCACUUAGUUGUCUGUUUGCCGCUAUAAUGUAUGGCUCCAUACAGCAGUGAGUCCUCAGCCUGUAAAAUUUUCCAUCUCUUAACAGCAAUAACACAUACGCAGAAUCUUCCAAAAAUAAAAAUAAAAAAAAUAACACAUACGCAGAGCCGUGCAAGCAUUCAUAACGAACAUAAGCGGUUGAAAAUAAAAUGUCUUAAUUUGUAUAAAAUUAAAUACUAUUGUCACAGAUGAAAAACACCGACAAUAUACAACAUUCAUUCUAAACAUAAUUUAUCCUAUUCUUAUUAUGCAAAUUGAUGACUAAACUUUAUUUUUAAUAUCCAGAAAUCGUUUUAAUGGAAAAAUAACCAAUUUUACUUCAUCAUAUUUUUAUCUUAUUUUCUAUUAUUGUCAGUUUUUCUAUUUAAAAAUAUUAUCUAGGUAUUCUACUAAUAAAACUACGAAAAUGUCAUUAGAAAUCCCUAAGACCAUAAGAAUCAAUCUUUUAUUACUUUCUUUACCCAACCCAUAUUUAGCUUAUCCAAAUUACUAUAACAUAAAUCCAUACACUAUACAUAGAUAUCUUCUUUUAUUUAGGAGUAAAAUUAGUAUACUUAAUUAAAAAUGUUUUAAUCGAAAACAAAAGAUGCCAUAUUAAGUUUAUAAAAAAAACGCUGCCCUAGGCGAACGCUUCAUUUUUCAUAACAGAGGCACGGCUCUGCACAUACGUCUAAUGUGUAUAACCAUAUAUACACGAGAGGAUCAAGUUCGUUCAAUACCAGUGGGAAAUAAGCUGGUGAUAACCAGCGUCAUGAGUAAUAGCGUGAGUCUUAGCAAGACUCCAUAGCCAGCAGGAGGUAGCAUCAUAUCCUGGCGUGAAUACCUGCCUCCAUUGGGGCCUGUUUACAUCUUGGGGACGAGUCAACUCAAUGGCAACAGGUCUCAAUGUGCUAUCAUCGUUGAGGAAGAAUAGUGUUCGAGAAGCAUAUAAGGUGCUAUCAUCCAACUCUCUCACUUUGUUCACAUACGGUAGAAGCAAAUCAUGAUAGUCCAACAUGAACAAUCUCUUGUUCUCCAGAGCCUGCAUGCACACAUCCAUUGAUAUUUAUUCAUUAUGGAAUUACUUCAUAUGGAUGGAUGGAUAUAUAUAUAUGCUUUUUUCUUUAAAACAUGUGGAUAUUAGUUAAUGUUACCUCAUCAAAUGACAUAACUCCUUUGAUUUCUCUUUCCACAAUCUCACUUGUAAUGAGUGAGUUGGGAUCACCAUAAACCGCAGGGUCUAGUUUGCUUUUCAACGGCCACUCCUAGAACAACAAUGUGAUCUCAACUAGCUUACUUUUUCUACUUUUAGUUUCAAAACCGAAACAUGAUUUUCUUUAUAAAAAGAAGUUCCAUCAAACCAUGUACGUACUAGGUGACUCUUCUGUGCUCAUGCACGGGUAUAAAAAUUUACAAAAUAAUCAAUUAUAAUUAAUAUCUUUUUGCUUUCACUUAUUGAUCAAUUUUAAAUCCUAUUAUAAUCAAUAUGUGUGUGAAAACUAAUGUAUGAAAAUUAAAUAUCAUGUUAUGUUUUAAAUAAAAUUAUGUUGUUAUCUCAAUUUAGUAUGAUAUUGUAUAUAUAACAAUUUAGAUAGGUUCAAUUAUUCUUUUUGGUAUAUUAGAUUGUUUAUAAUUUUCAACUAAAUCAUAAUUUAUUGUGGUUUAAAAUAUAUUAAAAUCAGAUUAUUGUAAUUAUAUUUAGUUCGAUUCAUCAUAUUAAUUUGUUAAUAUAUUUUAGAAAAAUCUCUAUUAUUUAAUGUAUAAGUUGUUUUAGGAGGCGUCAACAAAAAAAAAGUCGACAAAAAAAUUGUUUUAGGAGGAAAUAGAAAUAAAAAGUAAGUGUUACUUUAGUUAGAAUUGCACUAACCAAUAUAAACAGUGAUGUUCUGAAAGUUAUAUAAAUAACUAAAUUAUAAUAACUGAUUAAUGUUUUGCUUUCACUGGUUCAUAAAAUUUAUGAAGGUUUAUAACUUAUGUCUUGAAAAAUAAAUAUAAUUUUUAAUUAUAUUGAUAACUCAGUUUGACAUAUAAUUCUAGGUAUAAGAAUUCAGACCAAUUUGAUUAUUUACUUUUAAAAAAAAUUGCAACAAUUUAACUAAAUUAAAGUAACUGUUUUUCUUGGUUCUAAUUAUGGUAAGAUAUUGUGAAUCAUUUUGUUAUUUCAUUUAUUUUGGUUAUUCAUCUUACAUUAGUAAGUAUUUUAUAAAUCUUAUAUAAUUUCUAUAGUCCAAAACUAACAUUAUAAGAAGAAAAAAGAAACAACUUCGAAUUUAAAAUUAGUAGUAACUUUUAUUUGAAAAUAGUUAAUAUUUUCAAUCCGUUAAUAUGUUCUAAAUAAAAUAUCAUAACUACUAGAUAAUAUACAAAAUAAAUAAUAUGUUUUUAUGUAUUACUGAGUAUAUAUAUAUUUUAAACGAUAAUAUUUUGAAAAUUAAUUAAUUGUUAAACUAAUUUUUAUUAAUCCAGUAUACAUUUAUUACUGAGUUUUGAAAAAAAAAACAAUGUAAGAAUUGUUUAUAAAAGACUUUCCAAAUAGUUUUACAAAGAUUUAUAGAUAUUUUCCAUUUUGUUAUUUAAAAAAAUAUUAAUAAAAACUAAAAUAAAAUUUUUGAUUAUGACAAUUACAAGAAGUUUAAUUCAUUAAGGUUAUUAAUGUAGUUAGCCGUAUUAAAAAUUAACGUGAACACGAAACAUAGAAAAAUGACUUCUACGAUAAUAUAGCUAUUAGAUAAAGCGUAUAUAGCUUACUUGAACUAGCCCAAUGCAAAGGGGAUUAAGGCCAGCAAGUGUCUGGCGAGCAAACUCGUCGUCUCGGAUCCAUGAAAAUCUAUCCUCUGAAUCAAAGUAAAUGAUACAGUAAAGUGAGAUUAAUUGUAGCUAGCUGUAUAGAAUUGGAUAUAAUAAAUAUAUAAAUGGAGGAUUAAAAAAGAGCUUGUUACUGUCAAGGAGGAUAGGGGAAUCAAACUGGAGAAUAUCAUCAGCUUCAGCAACAGCUUUGACAAGUCUGGGGAUCAGAGGAAAAAGGCCAGCAUUCUUGGGAAGCUCGAUGCCUUCUUCAAAGAGAUCUUCUAUGGACUUGAAGUGUGGGAAGGGCAUGUUGGGAUCCACCAGAGCAGCUUCAAUCUGUGGGAACACAGCAGGAAGAGCCGCCAAGAUUGUCGUGCCCGUGAAUGCAGUGCCCUUGACUGUGGACCACUCCUCGUCUCUAGGGACAUAGAAAUCCCCUUUGCGUGUCUCAAUGGAGGGGUAUUUUCGGCUUGGUUUGCGACCAGUCUUGCACCGCCUUGGGUAUGGAUGAGAGAGGCCUCCCAUAACGGGACGGGCAAGUUUUGGAUCUUUGUCAGGAUCACCCACAUCGUUGUACACGUCAUAAUCGUAAACGCGCUCAAACUUUUUGAGUUCACCAUCACGCUCACGGUUCUUGCCUUGCAGGGUCUCCAGCUCCUCUUUUCGCAGCUGUUUAAGAGGCUCAGGAGUUUGGAGAGGCAAGUAGGACUUGUUGGAGAAGAAUGUCCGCUUGGUUGGGUCAUCGGACUUGGAGGCCACCCACGAGUUACAUGUAAAGGUAACGGGGCCGUCAGGUAGCUCAAGCUUCAUUUCCUUGAGGAAUAUCUCUCUAUGGGCCUCGUUUAAAACUCUGAUGGCACCCACCGCUCCAAAGUCUUUGGGCAUGUCAAAUACACACUCGUACUGAUCCUCACCAUGUGCAUCAAUCACUAAA
rnacentral:lncRNA from 1 species